rnacentral:rRNA from 1 species
CGGGGCGGGGGCACGGGGGGCCGACGGUGAGGGAUGAAGCCCUGGGGCGCAAACGGGAUUAGAUACCCCGGUAGUCCAGGGUGUAAACGCUGCGGGCUUGGUGUUGGGGGUCCUUAGUGGGCGCCCAGUGCCGGAGAGAAGUUGUUAAGCCUGCUGCUUGGGGAGUAUGUCCGCAAGGAUGAAACUUAAAGGAAUUGGCGGGGGAGCACCGCAACGGGAGGAGCGUGCGGUUCAAUUGGAUUCAACGCCGAAAAACUCACCAGGAGCGACGGAUAUAUGAAGGUCAAGCUGAUGACUUUACCUGAUUUUCCGAGAGGUGGUGCAUGGCGGUCGUCAGUUCGUACCGUAAGGCGUUCUCUUAAGUGAGAUAACGAACGAGACCCUCACCAUUAAUUGCUAGUCCUUUCUCCGGAGGGGGCGCACAUUAGAUGGGACCGC